rnacentral:rRNA from 1 species
UGGGGAAUAUUGCACAAUGGGGGAAACCCUGAUGCAGCGACGCCGCGUGAAGGAAGAAGUAUUUCGGUUUGUAAACUUCUAUCAGCAGGGAAGAAAAUGACGGUACCUGACUAAGAAGCCCCGGCUAACUACGUGCCAGCAGCCGCGGUAAUACGAAGGGGGCAAGCGUUAUCCGGAAUUACUGGGUGUAAAGGGAGCGUAGACGGAAGAGCAAGUCAGAUGUGAAAGGCCGGGGCUUAACCCGAGGACUGCAUUGGAGACUGUUUUUCUAGAGUGCCGGAGAGGUAAGCGGAAUUCCUAGUGUAGCGGUGAAAUGCGUAGAUAUUAGGAGGAACACCAGUGGCGAAGGCGGCUUACUGGACGGUUACUGACGUUGAGGCUCGAAAGCGUGGGGAGCAAACAGG